rnacentral:rRNA from 1 species
GAUACAGGGUGACAGCCCCGUACACAAAAAUGCACAUGCUGUGAGCUCGAUGAGUAGGGCGGGACACGUGGUAUCCUGUCUGAAUAUGGGGGGACCAUCCUCCAAGGCUAAAUACUCCUGACUGACCGAUAGUGAACCAGUACCGUGAGGGAAAGGCGAAAAGAACCCCGGCGAGGGGAGUGAAAAAGAACCUGAAACCGUGUACGUACAAGCAGUGGGAGCACGCUUAGGCGUGUGACUGCGUACCUUUUGUAUAAUGGGUCAGCGACUUAUAUUCUGUAGCAAGGUUAACCGAAUAGGGGAGCCGAAGGGAAACCGAGUCUUAACUGGGCGUUAAGUUGCAGGGUAUAGACCCGAAACCCGGUGAUCUAGCCAUGGGCAGGUUGAAGGUUGGGUAACACUAACUGGAGGACCGAACCGACUAAUGUUGAAAAAUUAGCGGAUGACUUGUGGCUGGGGGUGAAAGGCCAAUCAAACCGGGAGAUAGCUGGUUCUCCCCGAAAGCUAUUUAGGUAGCGCCUCGUGAAUUCAUCUCCGGGGGUAGAGCACUGUUUCGGCAAGGGGGUCAUCCCGACUUACCAACCCGAUGCAAACUGCGAAUACCGGAGAAUGUUAUCACGGGAGACACACGGCGGGUGCUAACGUCCGUCGUGAAGAGGGAAACAACCCAGACCGCCAGCUAAGGUCCCAAAGUCAUGGUUAAGUGGGAAACGAUGUGGGAAGGCCCAGACAGCCAGGAUGUUGGCUUAGAAGCAGCCAUCAUUUAAAGAAAGCGUAAUAGCUCACUGGUCGAGUCGGCCUGCGCGGAAGAUGUAACGGGGCUAAACCAUGCAC